AGAGAUGUGUGAUGACGCAUAUCAAUAAGCGGAGGAAAAGAAACUAACAAGGAUUCCCUUAGUAACGGCGAGUGAAGCGGGAAGAGCUCAAAUUUGAAAUCUUCAAGGUUCUACCUUGACGAAUUGUAGUUUAUAGAAGUGUUUUCUGUUAGUAGAGUGGCAAAAGUUCUUUGGAAUAGGACAUCAUAGAGGGUGAGAAUCCCGUAUUUGAUCAUUAUUUCCAGCUGUGUGAUACACUUUCAAAGAGUCGGAUUGUUUGGGAAUGCAGUCCAAAAUGGGUGGUAAAUUUCAUCUAAAGCUAAAUAUUGGCGAGAGACCGAUAGCGAACAAGUACCGUGAGGGAAAGAUGAAAAGAACUUUGAAAAGAGAGUUAAACAGUACGUGAAAUUGUCAAAAGGGAAGCGUUUGACACCAGUGUUGUUUUCUCGAAAAUCAAUUAAGAAUGAUGUAUUUUGUGUUAGUAUUGACUUUAUCAGGCUUUCUGCACUUUUUCUUAUGAACUUUCUUAAUGCACUUUUCGGUUAACAAGUCAACAUCAAUUUCUUUUGUUGUAAAAGGGUCAUGAGGAAGGUGGCUUUCCUUUCGGAGAAAGUGUUUAUAGCCUUUGGCUUCUGCAAUCGGAGAGAUUGAGGUCUGCAGCGUAGAUCCUUCGGGGUUAGAUACAUUUGUGCUAAGUUAUAGCCUUUCAUAGACAACUUGUUGACUAUGAUCAGUCAUGUAGCUUACUCGCUUAUGCUAUUUUACCUACGCUUAGGAUGUUGAAGUCAUCGUAUCGCGC
rnacentral:rRNA from 1 species